UUGAACAGAGUAGGGGAAUAUUUCUGCUAAUCAAAGGCAUGGUGCAGAGGGCCGAGACUCAGGGCUCCGAUCGCGAUGGAACAACACCUCGGGGACAUCUGAGAGGGAGCAGCGGGUAGGGUCAGGGCCCUGCUCAGAUGCAGGUGACCUGGCAGGUCCUCCCAGCCCACUGGACAGAGCAGCAAACUGAAGACAGGUAACGAAGUGACACACAGAAGGCCACGAGCUGAGGGCAGGCCACCUCCCCCGGCUGCCUGCUCAGCUGUCACCAGCCCUAGGUCAGAAGACCACUGGACCAAGGUGACGGAGACAGCCUGGGCUGAAAGGCUCUGAGGAGGCCCAGCACGCAGCCUGGCAGCCUCCGGCGAAUCUCUCAGCCCAGGGUGGGCACCAACUACCUCGCAGUCAGAGGAUGGCGUGGAGCCAGGCAUUGGUCUGUCCUCUCCCGUCAAUGCCCUGUGCCCCAACCUCCUCUAUUCCUUGGGCAUCCUCACCCCAUACUGGGGACAGUUCCCACGGCCUAUGCACUGUACUGUGCCCCCAGCCCUCUUCCUAUUUUGAGACAGGGACUCGCCAAGUCCUCCAGGCUCUGGACCCUCCUGCCUCAGCCUCCUGAGUGUUGGGAUCACAGGCAUGCGCCACCGCACCAGGCUUGCUCUGCUCCUGACAAAAGACCCGAGUGGGGCGACAGGUGCGAGUGGGAGGAUCACUGUGCACUUCUCCCCGCCCUUUCUGCUGUGAUCCUAGUGCACUGUUACAGUUAUGACAAAUAAACACAAUUUAAAUUCAAAGCCAUGAGCUCUUCCCCCUAGAACGUGGGUCUUCCUGGAGCAGCGGCGCCCCACCUGGCAGUGCAGGUGCAGCCCACCUGAUCCUGCGGAAGAUGCUGUCCAGGUCCCGCUUCAUCUCCACCAGCGUCCGCGUGUGGUGCACGAAGCGCUCGCUCAUCUGCUGCAGGCGGGCGCUGGACAGGUUGUUGAAGUUCAGCAGCAUUUCGUUGGUCUUUUCAAAGCGGUCCAGCCUGGCAGCAGAGGCGGAGAUGCAGGCAGGCGCAAGGACCCAAGUUCGAUAUCUGGUACCAGAAAAAAAAAAAGAAGAAGAAGAAGAAGAUCCUGAGUUCCAUCCUUGUGAGGGAAAAUUAGCGACUUCUAGUUCUAGCUCGAAAUACAAAAUAAAAAAUCGCUGGGGACGUGGCUCAGAGCAAAGGACCUGGGCUUAAUCCCCACCACUGUAGAGAAAAAAUGUACCCUUUCUUCUUUAAGGCAGGGUGUCAUGGUUUGUGUCCAGAUGUCCCCUCAAAGUCUUUGGAAUCAUAGGUGGCCCUUUCAGAGGUGGCUGAAUCUAGAGCGUGAUUACUAAAACAGUACUCUGGCUUGGUACUGCCCUAAUCCUGGUAGUAUGGAUAAGAUAAAAGAACGCAGAAAGACACUAUUAAG